rnacentral:rRNA from 1 species
UACAGAGGCCCCAAGCGUUACUGAGAAUCACUGGGUUUAAAGGAUGCGUAGGUGGUCCGUUAAGUUCGUUGUGAAAGCCCUGGGCUCAACCCAGGAACUGCUUCGAAUACUGGCGGACUUGAGGCUAGUAGGGGUCACUGGAACUGACGGUGGAGCGGUGAAAUGCGUAGAUAUCGUCAGGAACGCCAAUGGUGAAGACAGGUGACUGGGCUAGUUCUGACACUGAGGCACGAAAGCGUGGGGAGCGAACGGGG